AUGAACGCUAGCGGCAGGCUUAACACAUGCAAGUCGAGGGGCAGCGCGGGAUAGCAAUAUCCUGGCGGCGACCGGCGGAAGGGUGCGUAACGCGUGAGCGACAUGCCCGUUGCCCGGGGACAACCGGUGGAAACGCCGACUAAUCCCCGAUGGGAUAUUGUGCCGCAUGGCACGAUAUUGAAAGUUACGGCGGCGACGGAUUGGCUCGCGUCCGAUUAGCUUGUUGGCGGGGUAACGGCCCACCAAGGCUACGAUCGGUAGGGGUUCUGAGAGGAAGGCCCCCCACAAUGGGACUGAGACACGGCCCAUACUCCUACGGGAGGCAGCAGUGAGGAAUAUUGGUCAAUGGGCGGAAGCCUGAACCAGCCAUGCCGCGUGCGGGAAGGAGGCCCUAUGGGCUGUGAACCGCUUUUGCCUGGGGGCAAUAAGGGCGUCGCGCACGUCCGAUGAGAGUACCAGGCGAAUAAGCAUCGGCUAACUCCGUGCCAGCAGCCGCGGUAAUACGGGGGAUGCGAGCGUUAUCCGGAUUCAUUGGGUUUAAAGGGUGCGUAGGCUGUGCGUCAAGUCGGGGGUGAAAUUCCGGUGCUCAACACCGGGGCUGCCCUUGAUACUGUCGCGCUGGAGUGCGGAUGCCGCCGGAGGAAUGAGUGGUGUAGCGGUGAAAUGCUUAGAUAUCACUCAGAACACCGAUUGCGAAGGCAUCUGGCGAAUCCGUAACUGACGCUGAGGCACGAAAGCGUGGGGAGCAAACAGGAUUAGAUACCCUGGUAGUCCACGCCGUAAACGAUGAGUGCUAAGUGUUAGGGGGUUUCCGCCCCUUAGUGCUGCAGCUAACGCAUUAAGCACUCCGCCUGGGGAGUACGACCGCAAGGUUGAAACUCAAAGGAAUUGACGGGGGCCCGCACAAGCGGAGGAACAUGUGGUUUAAUUCGAUGAUACGCGAGGAACCUUACCCGGGCUCGAACGGCACCUGAAUCGCCCAGAGAUGGGCGAGUCUUCGGACAGGUGUCGAGGUGCUGCAUGGUUGUCGUCAGCUCGUGCCGUGAGGUGUCGGCUCAAGUGCCAUAACGAGCGCAACCCCUGCCGCCAGUUGCCAUCAGGUCAUGCUGGGCACUCUGGCGGGACUGCCACCGCAAGGUGUGAGGAGGGGGGGGGAUGACGUCAAAUCAGCACGGCCCUUACGUCCGGGGCGACACACGUGUUACAAUGGCGGCCACAGAGGGAUGCUACCCCGCGAGGGGAUGCGGAUCUCGAAAAGCCGUCCCAGUUCGGACUGGAGUCUGCAACCCGACUCCACGAAGUUGGAUUCGCUAGUAAUCGCGCAUCAGCCAUGGCGCGGUGAAUACGUUCCCGGGCCUUGUACACACCGCCCGUCACACCACGAGAGUUUGUAACACCCGAAGCCGGUGGAGUAACCAUUUGGAGCUAGCCGUCGAAGGUGGGACAAAUGAUUGGGGUG
rnacentral:rRNA from 1 species